rnacentral:rRNA from 1 species
UGGGGGAAAAUUAAUAUAAUAAAAUAAAUAAUAAAAAUAAUUAUAAAAAAUAAUUAAUGGGGGUUAAAGUAUUUUUUAGAAAAAAUUUAUUAAUUUAUAGUUUAAUAGUAUUGUGAAAGAAUUUUGAAAUAAAGUUAAAUAUGGAUUAUUAUUUAAGUAAAUUUAAUUUAUUGUAUCUUGUGUAUCAGAGUUUAUUAAUAAAAUAUUUUUAAAUAAAAAUAUCUCGAAUUUAAAAGAGAUAGUUAAUUAUUAAAGUUAAUGUGGCAUAAUUAUUUUAAAUAAUUAAUUUGAAAUGAAAUGUUAAUCGGUUUUAAAAAUAUCUAGUUUUUUUAGAAAAAAAUUUAAUUUUAAAUUAAUUUAAUAAUUUUUUAAAUUUGUUAUAUAAAAUUAUAUAUUUAAUUAAAUAUUUUAAGGGAUAAGCUUUAAAUUAAAUUUUUAUAAUAUUAAUAAAUUAUUUAAAUAUUUUAAAAUUUAUAUUUUUUAUAAAUUAUAAUUUUUUAUAAAUAAUUUUAUUUAUUUUAAAAUUUAAAUUUAUAUUUAAAUUUAUAUAAAAAAAUAAUUUUUAAUAAUAAAAAAUUAGUUAUAAUUAUAAAAUUAGUAUAUAAAAAAAAAAUAAAAUAAAAUUAAUUAAAAUUAAUAAAAAGGAAUUCGGCAAAAAU